UUCCAAGUUGUUUAUUCUUUAUUGAUAUGUGCAGUUAUAUCCACAAAUCAUUAUUACACAUGUAGCUUCAAUACUGUACAAUCAUCAUGGCUGAAGAGAGAGUGCUUGGUAAGGCCCUGCACCCACUUAUUAUCAGAAGAAAACUACACUAACACAGAUUCAGACACACAAAUACACAAAUCCACACACUCAUAUAUUAUGUUGAGAUUCACUAUAACACUUUAGCUACAAAGGGGCAGUGUCUGACCACUAUUUAUUUUCCCUAUAGAGGUUUUAGCCUCCCAUAGCUCCAGCAGUAUAAUAUAUAUAAUAAGAUAUUGCUUUAACACAGACUGUACCCAAGCUAGGGCAAACAUUGAGCGUACCAAUAUGCAGACAAAACAAAAACAAAACAAUACUUAUUUUAGAUUAAGUGAAAAAGUGCUUUCAUAUUCACAUUCAAUAGUAUUUUCUUCCACAUGAUCUGUUAAAACAGUUCUGCAGUGUUAAGACAUUUAAAUAUUUCACAAGUUUUGUUCUAUCUUUAUAAUAAUUUGAUUGUUAUUGGUUGUAGAAUCCUACAGACACUAAUAUUUACAGACUUUUAAUGUGAGCGAUUUCGACAUGGUACAAUUACAAGAGCAACUGGCUCCAGGCCAAUGACUAAAACAAAGCUUGACUAGAACUUAAACCAAAGACUGGUGGGAUAGUGCAGUAACCUACUGUAUGGAGAUGCUUAUCCAUGUGUUCUUAUCUGGAGGGCUACGCCUCUUUAUAAGCAGCUGAGAGAGGAACACAUGAGAACCAGAGCUCGCCAGAGUUCGACAAUACACCAUCAUAAAGUCUACAUUGGGAUCCCACAAGGUAAACGUACUGUAUCCCCCCCCCAAACCAUCUUCCCACUAAUUUUACACUCCCAUAAUCACAGAUAAGGUAUACCAGCUACAAAAUGGAGAAAUAUUCAAAUAUACAAUGAAAUGUACACCAACAUACACAGAAUAUUAUAUAGUAAAAUAAAUAUAGUCAAUUCAAUCAUCAACACCAUGGCUUUGAACAUUGUGCUAAAAAAAUAAAUAAAGUAAUCCUCUGUAAAAAAUAAAGUUAGCUAAAAUGGAAUCAUUUUGUAAAUCAAUUGAGAAGAGUGACAAGUCAAGUAUAGUUUUAUGAAAUUGGGCUAUGUUGUGGGGAAAAUGUGCUUCCUUAUUUAGCCUGUACUUUUGAGUUAUGUCAACAGCAUGUUUAAAAUCUUUGCUGAGUGUGUAAUGGAGGUAAGUAAAUGCUUACGGGAAAAGGUCUUGGCAGAUUAAAAUAAUACUGUGUGAUUGUAUGAGUUCUCUAUCUGGCUUGAUUAGUUGAAAUAGUCAAAUGGAAAAUUGCUCUUGGUUUAAAUUCAGACAAUAUUAAAGCAGGAAGCACUGCCAUUCUGUUUAUGAGUAUAAAUAAAUAGCGACUGCCUUACAAUCCGACUUUGAUCUGAUUUGGUCCAAUAGCGAUUGCCACAUUGUUUGGUACAUUAAUGUAGAAGAUAAGAGAAGGUGAAGUGGGGAGUUUUAUUUGUGCUUAAAGGGAUCAAUUCAUGUUGCUUUUUGUUUGUACUGUACAUUCAGCUCCAGUUCUAUUGGUCUGCCACGACCAUAGCUUGUGCCUUAAUCAUCACAUUGUCUGUAGUACAAUCCUAUUUGUGCCCAUACAACUCUAUUUGUGCAUUCCUUAUUUGUGACCAUUCAAGUUUGUGCCUACAUACUACAAUUUUUCUUGUGUUGAAUAAUGAUUUAAAGUGAUUUGUUAUGUCAAUCCAUUUGUGAAAUUGUGCCUUUUGUGUGCUUGGUAGUAAUUUAAACAGGGAAUCAUAAUAUAAGAUCGUCAAAAAUGUUUUCUGUCUGUCAGGGACUCAUUUUGUAGCUUCAUCUGUACCAUUUAAAAUUCUGACUGAACUAUUCUUCUUUCAGCUUCUACAUCAAUAGCAGCACAUUAUACAGUGCAUUUCUGCCUGUAUUCCUCCUCUGAAAUUGAUGGUGAUCUGUUAAUUAAUUUCUAUGGUGUAUGUACAGGAUGUAGUCGACGGUAUGUCCUUAAUAUCUAGUUUUCACUCUUUGGUGGAGGUACUGAAGUUUCUAAUACACCAGCUAUGCGUGGCCUGAAGUAACAUUAUAUAACUCCUACACAUAGAACUGGGCCUUUAUUACCCCCUCCCC
ensembl:lncRNA